CCCAAUUAGACCAUCCUGUUCAUCUCUAAGCUGAGCAUGUGUUCUUAAGUUCUGGUGUUUCUAGGUCAGGAGCAAGAGGAAUAAAGAGUCAGAGAUAAGAGUAACAGGGUGUGUGUGGGAACCAGGAGAGAGGGGGACAAAGUGAGGCCAGAUUAUGGAAGCAUUGCACGUCCUGCUGGCUUUUUUGGCUUUAUUUUUAUUGGCGAUAGGCAACCCUUAGUAGUUUUGAGCAAGGAUGAGAUGCAAUUAGUAGUGGCAUCAAUCCUUCUCAAUCCAUCACAAAACCCAUCCUCUCUCCUUGGUGGGAAGGAAAACAAAGGCUCAGAGAGGCAUGGCAGCUUGCCUGGAGGCUCCCAGUAAAUUGUUUCAGGCAGUGAAACCAGAAGCCGGCCCUGCUGUCUCUCCUUCCCAGCUUUGGGGCUCUGGUAGCUGCUGGUUGCCUUUCUUUCCCUGGCCCCCCCAGCCUGCUCCCUCCUUCACUCAGGAGCUCUGCACCACCUCGCGGUGGCCCUCUCCAUCAUUAGAGCAACCAGUGGGGUUCUGCUGUAAUUAAAGGAAGCCAACAGGAGGAAGCAAAGCAGAGCAAGGGAAAAAAAAACAAUCACCAACAAAACAUCUUAUUUCCCACGCAAACUCCCUACAACUAGCGUCUAUUGGCUUUCAUGGGAACCUGCUUGCUUUAAAUACAGCAAAGGGAAACCCCACAGGAUGAUGUGGGAAAGCAGGUUGUUAAGAUACCUUCAGGCUGCCAGAGUGGGGAUUUACUCCUUUUUUUCCCCCUCCCUACCCUGCAGGGCAAAACUGAUAAAAUGUUAGUGUUGAAAGCGACCUCGAAGGUCAUUUAGUGCAGGGCAGCCUUCCCUCCAUCCCCUGCCCCUCCCAGGACAGCGUCUCUGACACAUUGUUAUCUGGCUCCCACUCUCCCUGGCUCACUCAAUUUGCUGGACCAAAGCUCAGGUAGGGGUAGGAAGACACUUUAGCGAAAACUGGCCACCCACGCCUGUUGUCAUUUACGGCCCGACUCCGGAAAUGUCUAAUUAAUUCAUUUAUCCAAUUAGCCCCUUGCUCUCUGAAAUGCUUUUUCUUGGUUGCUGAGCAACCAGGAUAGACUUUCAACACAUGCAUGCUGCUGGUGAAUGAACCAGUAGUUUCUUCACCCUGGCACCCCCUGCCCCCGCUCCUCUUUCUCCUUUUAUUUUUCUGAUGCACAGUAAUGAAGACCAUCUCCACCAAUCUCCAGCCUUCUCACCUUCCCCAAACCUCUGGAUGUGCUUGCUGCCCGACUUAACACAUUUCUGAAGGUAUUCUUCAUGUGGUGGGGAAGAUGGCAAUUCAGAGCUUGCAGUGAUGAAAAGAGUGUCCAUUUCCUCGUUCCCCUCUUCAUCCUCCCCUCUCUUUCUUUACUAUUAUUUCUGAAGAAGUUGUUCUUGCUUGAUUCAUGGGUCCACCAUACCACUGGACCAAUUACUGGGCGGCUCGAGGAGACAGCACUUUCUGGUUGGCAGCCUCAUCAGAAUAAAGUGGAGUGGGAGAAGCAGUUUCCCAAAGGAGUGCUGAACCCAUUUCAAAAGGCUAGACUUUCCCCACUGUCUUUGAAAUGAAGAGAUGAGCAGAAAUGUAUCUCCAAUGAACAGGGCACAGAUUUCUGGGUGAGCCUGCCAGCUGGCUCCCUAAACCCCUGCCCCACCUUCCAACACAACUGCUGUCUUCCUGAUGAAUGAAGUGUCUCCUUUGCUCCCUGGGUACUCUUUCUGCUAUUACUUCUUAUUUCAGCCCCCUCUACUUUG